rnacentral:rRNA from 1 species
AGAGUUUGAUCCUGGCUCAGAACGAACGCUGGCGGCAGGCUUAACACAUGCAAGUUGAACGGGAUUUGUGUGGUGCUUGCACCAUAUAAUGAGAGUAGCGCACUGGUGAGUAACACGUGGGAACGUGCCUUUUAGUGGGGGAUAACAUCUGGAAACGGAUGCUAAUACCGCAUACGCCCUGAGGGGGAAAGAUUUAUUGCUAAGAGGUCGGCCCGCGGUAGAUUAGGCAGUUGGUGGGGUAAAGGCCUACCAAACCUACGAUCUAUAGCUGGUCUGAGAGGACGAUCAGCCACAUUGGAACUGAGACACGGUCCAGACUCCUACGGGAGGCAGCAGUGAGGAAUAUUGGGCAAUGGAGGCAACUCUGACCCAGCCAUGCCGCGUGAGUGAGAAGGUUUUCGAAUUGUAAAGCUCUUUCGGGUGUGAAGAUGAUGACGGUAACACCAGAAGAAGCCCCGGCAAACUUCGUGCCAGCAGCCGCGGUAAUACGAAGGGGGCGAGCGUUGUUCGGAAUUACUGGGCGUAAAGGGUGUGUAGGCGGUUAAGUAAGAUAGUGGUGAAAUGCCGGGGCUCAACCUCGGAAUUGCCAUUAUGACUAUUUAGCUAGAAUGAUGCAGAGGAUAGCGGAAUACCCAGUGUAGAGGUGAAAUUCGUAGAUAUUGGGUAGAACACCAGAGGCGAAGGCGGCUAUCUGGGCAUUGAUUGACGCUGAGGCACGAAAGCAUGGGGAUCAAACAGGAUUAGAUACCCUGGUAGUCCAUGCUGUAAACGAUGAAUGCUAGUUGUUGGAGGAAUUCAGUGACGCAGUUAACACAAUAAGCAUUCCGCCUGGGGAGUACGGUCGCAAGAUUAAAACUCAAAGGAAUUGACGGGGACCCGCACAAGCGGUGGAUGAUGUGGAUUAAUUCGACGCAACGCGAAAAACCUUACCUAGCCUUGACAUGUCAGGAACCCGGAUGAAAGUCUGGGGUGCCCGCAAGGGAGCCUGAACACAGGUGCUGCAUGGCUGUCGUCAGCUCGUGUCGUGAGAUGUUGGGUUAAGUCCCGCAACGAGCGCAACCC